GUGUGUGGUGCAGUGUGUUGGGGGGGUUCUGUGUGUAUGAGGGUGCGGUGUGUGUGUGAGGGGUGCGGUGUGAGUGAUGGGUGUGAGAGUGCCGUGGGAGAGUGCCGUAUGUGAGGGUGCGGUGUGUGAGAGUGCCGUGUGAGAGUGCCGUGUGAGAGUGCUCUGUGAGAGAGUGCUCUGUGAGAGAGUGCUCUGUGAGAGUGCUGUGAGUGUGAUGGGUGUGAGGGUGCUGUGAGAGAGUGCUGUGUGUGUGAAAGUGCUGUGUGUGUGAGAGUGCUGUGAGAGUGCUGAGAGUGUGAUGGGUGUGAGAGUGUUGUGUGAGAGAGUGCUGUGUGUGAUGGGUGUGAGAGUGCUGUGUGUGAUGGGUGAGAGUGUUGUGUGUGAUGGGUGUGAGUGCUGUGUGUGAUGGGUGUGAGAGUGCUGUGUGUGAUGGGUGUGAGAGUGCUGUAUAAAUGUUAUUGUGUGUGUGGGGGGGGGGUAAAUAAAAAAAAUAAAUAAAACAAAAAAACAGGUAUUAUUCCCCCCCCUCCCUUCUUACCUUUAGCCUGGGAGAGGGAGGGGGGGGACCGGCACGCUGGCACCUGGCAGGCGGGGUGGCGGGGUUCCCUGGUGGUCCUCGUGGGUAAGUGAACUCUCGCGAGAUCCGGUCGUUGCCAUGGCAACGCGCCGGAUCUCGCGAGAGGAGCCCGGCGGAGCUGCAAAUUAGAGCUCCGCCGGGUCCUCUCUCCAGCCUGGCUGGCUGGCU